UUUACAUGAUGGAUUAUAGAACAGGGCUGCUGUUUUUAUCUGUUUGCUGGGCAGGUGUUGAUGGUCAGACUCUGAUAGAAUCUGAACCAGUAGUUAAAGAGUCUGGAGAAUCCCACAGACUGACCUGUACAGCUUCUGGAUUCUCAUUCAGCAGCUACUGGAUGGGCUGGGUCAGACAGGCUCCUGGAAAAGGACUGGAAUGGGUUGCCACUUUUGAUAGUGGCAGUGGUAGCAGCAAGUACUACUCUCAGUCAGUUCAAGGCCGGUUUACUAUAUCCAGAGACAACAGCAAACAGCAGGUGUAUCUGCUGAUGAACAGUCUGAAGACUGAGGACACAGCAGUGUAUUACUGUGUCAGAGAGAAACACACUGACUGAAGCUGGUUGAGCAGCUGUACAACAUCUUUCAUGCUGAUAUAAAAAGCUGCAAGGAUUUUAGAC